rnacentral:rRNA from 1 species
AUUGAACGCUGGCGGCAGGCCUAACACAUGCAAGUCGAACGAGUGGCGGAAGGGUGAGUAAUGUCUGGGCAACUGCCUGAUGGAGGGGGUUCACUACUGGAAACGGUUGCUAAUACCGCAUACCAUCGGAUGUGCCCAGAUGGGUUUAGCUUGGGGGUGGGGUAACGGCUCACCUCGGUGACGAUCCCUAGCUGGUCUGAGAGGAUGACCAGCCAACCGGGAACUGAGACACGGUCCAGACUCCUACGGGAGGCAGCAGUGGGGAAUAUUGCACAAUGGGCGAAAGCCUGAUGCAGCCAUGCCGCGUGUGUGAAGAAGGCCUUCGGGUUGUAAAGUACUUUCAGCGGGGAGGCGUUACCCGCAGAAGAAGCACCGGCUAACUCCGUGCCAGCAGCCGCGGUAAUAC